GAUAAACGCUGGCGGCGUGCCUAAUACAUGCAAGUCGAGCGAACGGAAGAAGCGUCUUCGGACGAAUUGGAAGUGAGCGGCGAACGGGUGAGUAACACGUAGGUAACCUGCCCUUGAGAUAGGGAUAACAGUUGGAAACGACUGCUAAUACCGAAUAGGAACAGAUGAGGCAUCUCAUCGGUUUAAAAGGAGCUUUCGGGCUUCGCUUGAGGAUGGACCUGCGGCGCAUUAGCUAGUUGUGGGUAACGGCCUACCAAGGCGACGAUGCGUAGCCGACCUGAGAGGGUGAUCGGCCACACUGGGACUGAGACACGGUCCAGACUCCUACGGGAGGCAGCAGUGGGGAAUAUUGCACAAUGGGGAAACCCUGAUGCAGCCAUGCCGCGUGUGUGAAGAAGGCCUU
rnacentral:rRNA from 1 species